rnacentral:rRNA from 1 species
GCUUAGCCCUAAACCUUAAUAUUUUUAUAACAAAAAUAUUUGCCAGAGAACUACUAGCCACCGCUUAAAACUCAAAGGACUUGGCGGUACUUUAUAUCCACCUAGAGGAGCCUGUUCUGUAAUCGAUAAACCCCGUUAUACCUUACCACAUCUUGCUAAUUCAGCCUAUAUACCGCCAUCUUCAGCAAACCUUAAAAAAGAAUAAAAGUAAGCAAGAGUACACACGUAAAAACGUUAGGUCAAGGUGUAGCCAAUGAAGUGGAAAGAAAUGGGCUACAUUUUCUUAAUUAAGAACACACGAAAAUCUUUAUGAAAUUAAAGACUAAAGGGGGAUUUAGUAGUAAAUUAAGAAUAGAGAGCUUAAUUGAAUAGAGCAAUGAAGUACGC